ACAGCAGUCGCCGCGGUAAUACGAACCGUGCGAACGUUAUUCGGAAUCACUGGGCUUAAAGCGCGUGUAGGCGGAUGGGAGCGUCGGCCUCUGAAAUCCCCCGGCUCAACCGGGGAAGUGGAGCCGAAACGACCCGUCUGGAGGGACGUAGGGGGACCUGGAACUUCCGGUGGAGCGGUGAAAUGCGUUGAGAUCGGAAGGAACGCCCGUGGCGAAAGCGAGGUCCUGGACGUCUGCUGACGCUGAGGCGCGAAAGCCAGGGGAGCGAACGGGAUUAGAUACCCCCGUAGUCCCUGUCUCUUAUA
rnacentral:rRNA from 1 species